rnacentral:rRNA from 1 species
GAUGAACGCUAGCUACAGGCUUAACACAUGCAAGUCGAGGGGCAGCAUGAAUAUUGGCUUGCCGAUAUUUGAUGGCGACCGGCGCACGGGUGAGUAACACUUAUCCAACCUUCCGGUUACUCGGGGAUAGGCUUUCGAAAGAAAGAUUAAUACCCGAUGUUGUGUAUCUUUCUCCUGAAAGAUACGCCAAAGGAUUCCGGUAACCGAUGGGGAUGCGUUCCAUUAGGCAGUUGGCGGGGUAACGGCCCACCAAACCUUCGAUGGAUAGGGGUUCUGAGAGGAAGGUCCCCCACAUUGGAACUGAGACACGGUCCAAACUCCUACGGGAGGCAGCAGUGAGGAAUAUUGGUCAAUGGACGGAAGUCUGAACCAGCCAAGUAGCGUGAAGGAUGACUGCCCUCUGGGUUGUAAACUUCUUUUAUACGGGAAUAACAUGAGGUACGCGUACCUUAUUGCAUGUACCGUUAUGAAUAAGCAUCGGCUAACUCCGUGCCAGCAGCCGCGGUAAUACGGAGGAUGCGAGCGUUAUCCGGAUUUAUUGGGUUUAAAGGGAGCGUAGGUGGGAUAUUAAGUCAGCUGUGAAAGUUUGGGGCUCAACCUUAAAAUUGCAGUUGAUACUGGUUUCCUUGAGUACAGUACAGGUGGGCGGAAUUCGUGGUGUAGCGGUGAAAUGCUUAGAUAUCACGAAGAACUCCGAUCGCGAAGGCAGCUCACCGGGCCGGAACUGACACUGAUGCUCGAAAGUGCGGGUAUCAAACAGGAUUAGAUACCCUGGUAGUCCGCACAGUAAACGAUGAAUACUCGCUGUUUGCGAUACACUGUAAGCGGCCAAGCGAAAGCGUUAAGUAUUCCACCUGGGGAGUACGCCGGCAACGGUGAAACUCAAAGGAAUUGACGGGGGCCCGCACAAGCGGAGGAACAUGUGGUUUAAUUCGAUGAUACGCGAGGAACCUUACCCGGGCUUAAAUUGCGCUGGCUUUUACCGGAAACGGUAUUUUCUUCGGACCAGCGUGAAGGUGCUGCAUGGUUGUCGUCAGCUCGUGCCGUGAGGUGUCGGCUUAAGUGCCAUAACGAGCGCAACCCUUAUCUUUAGUUACUAACAGUUUUGCUGAGGACUCUAAAGAGACUGCCGUCGUAAGAUGCGAGGAAGGUGGGGAUGACGUCAAAUCAGCACGGCCCUUACGUCCGGGGCUACACACGUGUUACAAUGGGGAGCACAGCAGGUUGCUACACGGCGACGUGAUGCCAAUCCGUAAAACUCCUCUCAGUUCGGAUCGAAGUCUGCAACCCGACUUCGUGAAGCUGGAUUCGCUAGUAAUCGCGCAUCAGCCACGGCGCGGUGAAUACGUUCCCGGGCCU